rnacentral:rRNA from 1 species
AGACCCGAAACCCGGUGAUCUAGCCAUGGGCAGGUUGAAGGUUGGGUAACACUAACUGGAGGACCGAACCGACUAAUGUUGAAAAAUUAGCGGAUGACCUGUGGCUGGGGGUGAAAGGCCAAUCAAACCGGGAGAUAGCUGGUUCUCCCCGAAAGCUAUUUAGGUAGCGCCUCGUGAAUUCAUCUCCGGGGGUAGAGCACUGUUUCGGCUAGGGGGCCAUCCCGGCUUACCAACCCGAUGCAAACUGCGAAUACCGGAGAAUGUUAUCACGGGAGACACACGGCGGGUGCUAACGUCCGUCGUGAAGAGGGAAACAACCCAGACCGCCAGCUAAGGUCCCAAAGUCAUGGUUAAGUGGGAAACGAUGUGGGAAGGCCCAGACAGCCAGGAUGUUGGCUUAGAAGCAGCCAUCAUUUAAAGAAAGCGUAAUAGCUCACUGGUCGAGUCGGCCUGCGCGGAAGAUGUAACGGGGCUAAACCAUGCACCGAAGCUGCGGCAGCGACACUCAGGUGUUGUUGGGUAGGGGAGCGUUCUGUAAGCCUGUGAAGGUGGCCUGUGAGGGUUGCUGGAGGUAUCAGAAGUGCGAAUGCUGACAUAAGUAACGAUAAAGCGGGUGAAAAGCCCGCUCGCCGGAAGACCAAGGGUUCCUGUCCAACGUUAAUCGGGGCAGGGUGAGUCGACCCCUAAGGCGAGGCCGAAAGGCGUAGUCGAUGGGAAACGGGUUAAUAUUCCCGUACUUGGUGUUACUGCGAAGGGGGGACGGAGAAGGCUAUGUUGGCCGGGCGACGGUUGUCCCGGUUUAAGCGU